rnacentral:rRNA from 1 species
GAUGAACGCUGGCGGCGUGCCUAAUACAUGCAAGUCGAGCGAACGGACGAGAAGCUUGCUUCUCUGAUGUUAGCGGCGGACGGGUGAGUAACACGUGGAUAACCUACCUAUAAGACUGGGAUAACUUCGGGAAACCGUAGCUAAUACCGGAUAAUAUUUUGAACCGCAUGGUUCAAAAGUGAAAGACGGUCUUGCUGUCACUUAUAGAUGGAUCCGCGCUGUAUUAGCUAGUUGGUAAGGUAACGGCUUACCAAGGCAACGAUGCAUAGCCGACCUGAGAGGGUGAUCGGCCACACUGGAACUGAGACACGGUCCAGACUCCUACGGGAGGCAGCAGUAGGGAAUCUUCCGCAAUGGGCGAAAGCCUGACGGAGCAACGCCGCGUGAGUGAUGAAGGUCUUCGGAUCGUAAAACUCUGUUAUUAGGGAAGAACAUAUGUGUAAGUAACUGUGCACAUCUUGACGGUACCUAAUCAGAAAGCCACGGCUAACUACGUG